AAAAACUCCACUAUACACUGAGACAGCAGUAUGCAUGGAGCAUUUGAAUGUUAACAUCAAGUAAGUCGCUGAAAACAUGAAACGAAGCUGAGGACAUGUUGUGAAAAAUACUGUGACAAAGGACACUGGAUGAGUUAGCAUCUAGAAGUUGCCUGCAGAUAUAAUACUACAGGUCCCCUCCUUAGAGGAAGGGAAAUCAGGAACAGACUGGGACCUCAGCAUAAAGAACUAAAGAUUGAGAGGUUUUGCUCUGCUUGGUUGAUGAAAGAAAGUGAAAACAUAAAAUCUGACACAAAAGAGACUUGACAGACCACCUACAGGAAAGGAAAGCAAACAAAAAACAACUGUAUGAAAAUGAAGUAUUUGCUGUAGAGACAGAAACAUCCAGAUAACAUCCACUGUGCAAUUGCAUCUUAUACAAGAGAAAAUGCAAGUAGAGAACCCAAAGAGAGAAAGGGAGACAGAGAGGAAGAAGAAAACUGCGUGAAAUAUAGAAAGAUAAGUCUCCUAAUAUCAAGGUCUGGAAUUUUAAAUACAGUUGGAAAAAAUUCAGUGGUGCACCAUACCCCUGGAUUAGUGGUAACUUAUCACUCAGACUUGAAGAAAAUUGGCAAUUUGAGGUACUUCUAAUCCAGGUGGGAAGAAGACACAAGGUGAAGACACAAGGCAAAGCCACAGCUUUGGCUGCAGGAAUAAUGUCCAGUAUUUGCAGGACUCUGAAGUCACCAAGAGACCUUGAUUGUCCUGACCAGCAUCACCUGGACCCUCAUCCCACUCUCUGCCCAGAGUCACAGCUGUGCUGGCUGAGCCUAUCCAACCAGCAACGAGUACUCUAAAGGACCCCAGUCUCAAAGUCCCAACAGGAGAAAGAAGACGAAAAUGACAUGAUUGCACCCUGCUCUGAAAGGCAGUGUCUUCCUGUACUAAUAAGCAAGACACAGCUCUUCUGGUCAGGGAUUACACAGUGGGAGGUGUGAGAGGUGAUGCCUGCCAUGCGGCUACUGACAGGGCCAGACUGUGUGGAGAGCUCUGAAACUCUGCACCUGACAGUUCUCUCUCUCGAAGAUUAAUUUCCUCUGAAAAUACGAAUUCAGGAUGGGCAAAAUAGAGCCCAAGAAAGCAAGGAGAUAAAAAAAAGACUGGAAAUCUUUGCUGUAUAAGCACUGCUCAUUUCAGUUCUUCAGCUGAGGAUUGAGAACUGUGACUUGUUGUCAGCUGAGCAGUACUAUCUAACUUUAAAUGUAUGUAACUUUAAACAUACAUAACUUUAAAUGUACCUUUAAACUUGCUCAACAGAGACAAGCAUACACCACCUCUGUUCUUCACUUGCAGUGAGAGAUUUCAGCUAUCACCAUUAUUAGAAAGGUGUGUCUCCUUUCCUGAAAUAGAGAUUUUUCUUACGUGGACUAUCUGGAAUUUUAUGUGACAUCAGAGUGGACAGUUAAGUGUGGUUCAGUGUUGUGAACCCUGCAGAUAACCUGAAGUAAAAUCAUUUUUUCUGAUGUUUU
ensembl:lncRNA